ensembl:lncRNA
CCAGGACACCUACAGCACCCGGUGUCACAGGAAAGCCAAAAAGAUCAUCAAGGACCAACCACCCGAGCCACGGCCUGUUCACCCUGUUAUCAUCCCGAAGGCAAGGUUCCCACCACACCAUCUUCCCCCUCUCCUCUCCCCCUCCUUCUUUGAAUGAGAAUGAAAGGAAUGGGAGAUUGAUAUCAACAGAAGAUGAAGAGAAUUGCUGCUCUCAGGGAGUGUUAGGAGAGUGUAAGAAGAAACAACACUAGAAGAGAGAUUACAGUCGUUUAUCAGAGCCAUACACUGUGAUACUAUGAUAUAGGCCAUCAGCCUUGUUACUAAACACUGGGAUAUAGACAGGGAGUAAAGGAGGGAGAGGGAAAGAGAAGGAGAGAAUGGUUUACAAAGAUAAAUAAUGGGGGGAGAGAGAGAGAGAGAGAGAGACAGACAGAGAGAGAGAAAGACAGAGAGAGAGAGAGAGAGAGACAGAGAGACAGAGAGAGAGAGAGAGACACAGAGACACAGAGAGAGAGACAAAAUGCCCACAAAAUGAGGUGGAAACUGAGCUGCACUUCCUAACCUCCUGUCCAAUGUAUGACCAUAUUAGAGACACAUAUUUCCCUCAGAUUACACAGAUCCACAAAGAAUUAGAAAACAAACCCAAUUUUGAAAAACUCCUGUCGUGACAUUGGCCUCUUUGGGUAUAGCAAGCCCCAUCCCCCUCUCCUUGCCUCCCCCUUUCCUCCUUCAACUAGGUUGCUGUGGUCAGAGAGACGUCGUAAUUUCCUGAAGAUCUCCUCAUGGACACACAGUAUAGAGAGAGUACAUUUUCAUAGAGGACAAAGGAAAUCCUUCCACCUCACAGAACUUGAGGUACGAACAAAUUUCAUGUUCCGGAGAAAUUAUAAAAGAUCGGUGAAGAAUCCAGCUACGAACAGCUACGAAUUUGGUAUCACUGAAAGCGAAGAACGACAACCGCCGAAACAUCCAUUCUAUAACGAAUGAAUGUCACUCUGAACGUCCCACUAUAACCACGACAGAGAGAGAGA